GAGGACUGCUUACAGCAAGUCACCUACAAAGAGCACACAUCCCUCCAGCUGGACAGGGCGGUACAUUCCAAAGGCAAGUGAAGUCCAGUUGCCUGGGGUCUCACUGCUUUGGCUACGCUGGGAUUGCUAUGAAGUUUGCGGGCACAGUUUCUCUACUCCAAAGUUUAAGAACAGAACUCCCAGGGAAUGCUCCAGGGAAGAGGAAGACUAUGAUCCUUUCUGGGCAAAGGUUGGAGAAUAUUACUCUGUGACUUAGAACUAGAUUGCUCCUUACGAGUGAUGGACAGUUCCAGGGCUGUACCUGGGGCUGGAGCCGUGGACAUCACUUCCCCUGGAUCCCUUCUGCCUCCUUAUGGUGUAUAGUUGGAGUUGUGCUUCACCUCUUUGUGUAUUUUGUUGCUCUGCUUUAUAGCUAUGCUGAGCAACUGUUCACAGAAAAGAGUGACCGGAAUGUGAAAAAACAAGAUGCCCCAACACCCUUGUGAACGUUGUUGCUGUAAGAGGGGCCGAUUAGAAAUGGCCAUGUUGGACAGCGGCCAACAUCCAUCAACCCCGAGAGACUGAAAGAUUUUGGGGAGGAGGAUUACCUGAAUUGUGAUGUGAAGACUUGGGAAAUGAAGAUCAUGAGCCGUAAUGAGGACUUGCUCAGAGAUGCCCUUGACCCAGUCACUCAGCCAAACAGUAGAAGCAGCCAGCCAACCUCUAAUAAGCUGAUUCGAUUUGAAGAUAUUAGUGCUGCAGCUUUCAAAAUCCAGAGUGGUGUCCAGAAAACCCCCUGCAUGUAUUCUAGACUUUCAAAGCAAUAUGGAAUGGAUAUCUAUCUAAAGAAAGAGUUCCUUCAGUAUACAGGAUCUGUAAAGGAGCGAGGUGUCCUUUACCUGCUAACAUCUCUGCAGCAGGAGCAGCAGAAAAAAGGUGUGAUAGUGGCUUCUGACAGUAACUUUUCCAUGGCAGUAGCAUACCAUGCCUCAGAACUCCGCAUUCCAGUAUUUGUCAUCAUGUCUACCAGCACUUCACUAGCCAGAGUGAAAAUGUGCCGUGAGUAUGGUGCCUUGGUGAUCUCCUAUGGCACUACAGCCAAGGAUUCCCAGAUCCAUGCAAGGAGGCUGGCCCAAGAGAAUGGCUAUCUAUACCUCGAAGAGGAGGACAGUGCUAUAUACCUGUCAGGGCUGGGUACCAUGGGAUUGGAGAUAUAUGAACAAGUGCCAAAGCUGGAUGCAGUGAUUUUUCCUGCAGGAGGCCACUGUGGAUUGCUAGCAGGAUCAGCUGCUGCCCUCAACAUCUCAACCCACACAUUGCUGUAAUUGGUGUUGAAUUGGAGAGUUUCCUGUGUUACAACAAUCAUAAAGAUAGGCCAUCCUACUGAAGACCAGGCCUGUAGCAACCAUCAGUUUUAUAGAGAUGUGAGUGGACCUUGCUUUGGUACCAAUUCUUUGCAGUUGACUGGGAAGCUUGUAACAAGGUUGUUACCGUGAGGGAAGAGGACAUUCUAAUUUCCAUGCUGCAGUUGCUGGAGUUUGAGAGAGCCAUGGUGGAUGCGGAAGGGGCUAUUGGACUUGCAGCCUUAAUUGCUGGGAAGCUGCCAGAGUUAAAGAGUAAAAGAGUUGCAAUCACUGUAUGCAGUGGUAACUUGGAGCUACCUUUGAUGAGGCAGUGCAUAGAUCGUGCCCUGACCCUUGACAGCAGAGUCUGCAAAUUUUCCCUCCUUCUCUCUGAUUGUCCAGGAGCUAUUUCAAAGCUACUAGAGAUACUGACUCGGGAGGAAGUUAGGAUGCUGGACAUCAAACAAGAACACAUGUUUGUGAUAUCUGAUCUCUUCACUAUUAAGGUCACCUGCAUUAUAGAGACUAGAGACAAAAUCCACACGGCUCAUCUCAGAAAUGCUCUCCUGGAACGCUACCCGACAAUGAUGUGGACGGAACGGUGAUGAGCAAAGUGCAAUGGAAAAUGCUGAGGUCUUUAACCAACACAUUAUGGAAAGCUAAACUUGAGGGCACCCAUAACAAAAUAUGCAUAAUCUUUCCAAACUGAACAGUUAGCAAAUAGCUACAGAAUCAAUUGAUUUAUUGAUUUGCUCGCAAUAAAGUGACUUCCUUUUGAAAUCAAGUAGAACUUGAAGCAUUAGAUUAGCUACAGGAGAGCUUGAUAGCCUCUGCUUGUGUUGGAAUUCAUUACUAAGUUAUCAAGUGGCUGUUUGGAUUUGGACUGGGAUGUAGAAUCCUGGCGUGUUCAAUAAGUAAAUAGCAAGAGGACAUUUUUCUUUAGUUCAUAAUGCAGCUCUCUUAUUUGCUCUUCAGAUUUUGGUGCCCGCUGCUUUAGUAAGCAAUGCAUCCUCCUUCUGCUGGCUUUCACAUCUUACUACUAUGCUCACUUUAUGUUUUCCCAGCCAGAGGCAGCACUUCAUCUGCUGAGUCUGCCUUGGCAGUUGUACAGGUGAAUUAUGUCUGCACAAAAUACCUUCACUUUCAGGGGCGGGAGGAAAGAAGGAGAAAGGCUAAUAACACACAUUAAGAGACUUUGUUGAAAAGGAAAA